rnacentral:rRNA from 1 species
UGGUGUUACUGCGAAGGGGGGACGGAGAAGGCUAUGUUAGCCGGGCGACGGUUGUCCCGGUUUAAGCAUGUAGGCUGAUUGUCCAGGCAAAUCCGGAUAAUCAAGGCUGAGGUGUGAUGACGAGGCACUACGGUGCUGAAGUAACAAAUGCCCUGCUUCCAGGAAAAGCCUCUAAGCAUCAGGUAACAUCAAAUCGUACCCCAAACCGACACAGGUGGUCAGGUAGAGAAUACCAAGGCGCUUGAGAGAACUCGGGUGAAGGAACUAGGCAAAAUGGUGCCGUAACUUCGGGAGAAGGCACGCUGGUGUGUAGGUGAAGUCCCUGCGGAUGGAGCUGAGACCAGUCGAAGAUACCAGCUGGCUGCAACUGUUUAUUAAAAACACAGCACUGUGCAAACACGAAAGU